rnacentral:rRNA from 1 species
ACUCCUGCGGGAGGCAGCAGUGGGGAAUAUUGGACAAUGGGCGCAAGCCUGAUCCAGCCAUGCCGCGUGAGUGAUGAAGGCCCUAGGGUUGUAAAGCUCUUUCACCGGUGAAGAUAAUGACGGUAACCGGAGAAGAAGCCCCGGCUAACUUCGUGCCAGCAGCCGCGGUAAUACGAAGGGGGCUAGCGUUGUUCGGAUUUACUGGGCGUAAAGCGCACGUAGGCGGACUAUUAAGUCAGGGGUGAAAUCCCGGGGCUCAACCCCGGAACUGCCUUUGAUACUGGUAGUCUUGAGUUCGAGAGAGGUGAGUGGAAUUCCGAGUGUAGAGGUGAAAUUCGUAGAUAUUCGGAGGAACACCAGUGGCGAAGGCGGCUCACUGGCUCGAUACUGACGCUGAGGUGCGAAAGCGUGGGGAGCAAACAGGAGUAGAAACCCCAGUAGUCCCAUGAU